rnacentral:rRNA from 1 species
UACGUAGGGUGCAAGCGUUGUCCGGAAUUAUUGGGCAUAAAGAGCUCGUAGGCGGUUUGUCGCGUCUGCUGUGAAAACGCGAGGCUCAACCUCGCGCCUGCAGUGGGUACGGGCAGACUAGAGUGCGGUAGGGGAGAUUGGAAUUCCUGGUGUAGCGGUGGAAUGCGCAGAUAUCAGGAGGAACACCGAUGGCGAAGGCAGAUCUCUGGGCCGUAACUGACGCUGAUGCACGAAAGCUAGGGGAGCAAACAGG